rnacentral:rRNA from 1 species
GACGAACGCUGGCGGCGUGCUUAACACAUGCAAGUCGAACGGAAAGGCCCUGCUUUUGUGGGGUGCUCGAGUGGCGAACGGGUGAGUAACACGUGAGUAACCUGCCCUUGACUUUGGGAUAACUUCAGGAAACUGGGGCUAAUACCGGAUAGGAGCUCCUGCUGCAUGGUGGGGGUUGGAAAGUUUCGGCGGUUGGGGAUGGACUCGCGGCUUAUCAGCUUGUUGGUGGGGUAGUGGCUUACCAAGGCUUUGACGGGUAGCCGGCCUGAGAGGGUGACCGGCCACAUUGGGACUGAGAUACGGCCCAGACUCCUACGGGAGGCAGAAGUGGGGAAUAUUGCACAAUGGGCGGAAGCCUGAUGCAGCAGCGCCGCGUGCGGGAUGACGGCCUUCGGGUUGUAAACCGCUUUCGCCUGUGACGAAGCGUGAGUGACGGUAAUGGGUAAAGAAGCACCGGCUAACUACGUG